AAACAAUUAUACCAUUCGCUCUCGUCGUAUAUGGCUAUCAGCUCAUAUACGACUCGAGCUCAUGGUAUAAUUGUUAAAUAUAGUUGCCAAAACAGCAUGAGCUCUACCUUUGAAUUUACUAUAUUACAAGAUAAGAAUGAAUAUUUAUUUAGUGACAGACUGUGAUAAAAAUUCAAUUAUGAUACAAAUUUAUGUAUUGCAUGAAUAUUAUUACAUUACAAAAUACUCCACAAUGUACACUGUCAGACAUCUGUCACCAUAAUCAUAUCUUUAAGGUU